AGUGAACGCUGGCGGUAGGCCUAACACAUGCAAGUCGAACGGCAGCACAGUAAGAGCUUGCUCUUACGGGUGGCGAGUCGCGGACGGGUGAGGAAUACAUCGGACUCUACUUUUUCGUGGGGGAUAACGUAGGGAAACUUACGCUAAUACCGCAUCCGACCUUCGGGUGAAAGCAGUGGAUCUUCGGACCUUGCGCGAUUGAAUGAGCCGAUGUCGGAUUAGCUAGUUGGCGGGGUAAAGGCCCACCAAGUCGAGGAUCCGUAGCUGGUCUGAGUGGAUGAUCGGCCACACUGGAACGUGAACACGGUCCAGAGUCCUGCGGUAGGCAGCAGUGUGGAAUGUUGGACAAUAGGCGCAAGCCUGGUCCAGCCAUACCGCGUGGGUGAAGAAGGCCUUCGGGUUGUAAAGCCCUUUUGUUGGGAAAGAAAAGCAGCAGGUUAAUACCCCGCUGUUCUGACGGUACCCAAAGAAUAAGCACCGGCUAACUUCGUG
rnacentral:rRNA from 1 species